UGGAGUGUCAUUUGUGUGUGUGUGUGUGUAGUGAGGGGCAGGGUUGAGGGCUGAGAGAGGCUGCAUUCAAGGCUGUUUAGGCACCACACAAAAAGAGCCCAGUGAGGCCCCACACCUGUCCCUGAAACAAUGGCUCCUUUGUUAAAUAGUGGGGUCAGCUGCUGAGAAAAAUGUAAGCUUCAAAUCUACAUUUUGAAUAUGAUGGAACUUUAAAUUGGCUGUUAAUACAUAAAAGUGAUUUUGUUUAUCUACAAGGAAAAGGAUACUGGAAUAUUCCAUUCAAAUUAAGGACAGAGUUUCCAGAAAAACUGAAAAAUAAUUUCUAUGAAUUUCAGGCUGAAAAUGUUUAUAUUGAUACCUAUUUUGUUAAAGGAAAAAGUGUGUCAGACAGAUUAACUGAAUUGAGGAAUGAAUGAAAUAAAAUUGUGACUGUGCAUUAGGAUGUAUGAAUCUAAAUUGAGCUUCAGCCUAAGGAAUUUAUUUAUUCAUUUUUUUACUCAUCAAUUUGAGUAUUAUAGGAUUUAAAAUUUUAAGUGGUAGUUAGCUUCUCUGUCAGUGCUGGCUACACAAGGAGCUGGCCACAGCUCCCCUCUGUUUGUACCUGAGGAACCUAGAUGCUGGAUUUGGAACUUUCCACUGCACUCAGGAAAGAAUCCCAAGACUUAUUUUAAGUCCUUAUUAUUGAGAGGAAGCCUGAUCCUGAAAAAUUCUGGUACUAAUAACUGCAGUUUGGAAUGGGGAUGUUAGGACAUGCUCUUACCACUUGUGUAAGAAGAAGUAAAGGAAAAAAAUACCUGAAAUUGUAAGUGGUACUGAUGGCUCUAAAUUUCAUGGCACAAACAUGAAAGGAAAUGCACAGAGUGGGUCUCAGAUAAAUACUAAUCUUAUAAGAUUCACUGAAUCAAAUAAAAAAGUUCCUUGCUGUGAAUAUUUAUAUUAUGUGUACAGGGACACUUUGGGAAUACUGACUGCUUUGGGAGUCUCAUAAUUCUCCUGAUGUGAGGGGGGGGUCACUAUCUCCUCUAUUCCAAUCUCUUGUUCUGUGAGGUAUGUGUGAUGGGGCAGGCUGGCCACUCUGUGCUAGUGUCAAGGAUGGCAAGAAUAUAUUUUUGAACACAUAUCUUUCAGGUACACUUUCCUUUGAUGCAAUUUCAUUUACUCUAUCACCUGAGUUCCUGAAGAAAGCAAGUGACUAGGAACCAUUUGAAAAUUCUAAGUAUAAAACAUCUAAGCAGGACAGGGCAGACUGGAAAUUGGGUAACUUUAGAUCUGGGAGGGGGAAGACUGGGAAUAAAGAGGAACCACUACAGUAGAAACAGGGGCUGGGUUACUAGCAGCAAGUCACUGGGGCUAGGGGGUAGAUCUUAGAAAACCAGCUGUGUAGGUCCUGCUUAGUGUUGUUGCUUUGGAACAAAGUCACAGCCACAGAGCUUAGAGAGUACAGAGUAGUCAUAGUUAUUCUUGAAACAUUAGCUUUCCUCAUUAUAUACCUCUAGGUUAUUUUUUUAUAACUUAUCAUCACAGCUAUGUGGGAAUGUGAGCAUUAAUGUUUUCCCUGUUUAAAAGCAUUUCUCUUUUGCCUUUAAUGAAAAAAUAUGCAGCCACUGUAUUCAAAUAGGUGCUAGUUCUUCCUUAUUACAUUCACCAUGCGUAUCUAUAAUCUAAAAUAUGAAAACAGGAGAAAUACAAUUAUUUCCCUGCAUGCUCUUAGAAAUUCACUACCUAAGGAAGUAUUAGUAUUUUCAAAAGGUUAUUCACUUUCCCUUCCCAGACUACUAAUAAAUAUUUGGAUGUCAUAAUUUUAUAAAUAAGAAGUUAAGUUUAAGAAUUAUUUAACUGAUUAUACAGGUCUAUAUUGCCCAAAUUUGUUACCACUCCUGUGUCAUGGACUUCAUUCACCUGCAUAAGGUGUUCUUUCACUACGAAUGUUGAGUGAUUUGUUUACUCAAAUGUUUACCAAACUGUAAAUUUAAGAGUCAGAUCCUCAAUAAACUCCAAGUCACAAAUUAUUUCAAUAUUCAAAAGCAUUUCUGUUCUUCCACCCAGCUACACACUUAUAUUUGAUUACUAAUGACAAAGUGGGUAACCAAUAUUCUCUCUGCACAAGUAGCUAUUUUUUGACCUUGCAAUCAAAACCUCUCUUUUUAAAGUAUCGAUAGUCUUGAAAUAUACCCUAAUUUUUACAAGAGCCAGACUUGUUAAUUCAAAAAAUAUGUGACAAACAAAAAUACUCCUGAUUGCUAUGAACUCAAGAAAGGAUAUAUUUUUAAGUUCACAGGGUCUCAUGAUUAACUGAAUAUUAUGAUUUACUUUUAUUAAGCAAAAUAUUCUUAUGUCCAAAUAUUCUGCUUAAUCUUCUGUAUGGAAACUCACUGUUCUUUGCCUUAACUAUACCAGUUUAUUCUCAUAUUCCUUAUAUCCACUCUAUUUCCCUUUAGAGGAAAAACGACAACAAAUCUUUUCAAAUAUGAAUUAAACACCAUUUGGCUCUGUGUUCUUUUUUAAUUCCCAUUUGUACACUAUUAUUUUCUCAUUUUCAUAUCAGUAUUCUUUCCAGAAAGGAAUUUUCCUGUAUUAAGAAUACCUUGGGCAACCAUUUAAAAAUGGCAUCAAAAUUAUCUUCCUUUAUCCUCUUGUUACUUUCUCAUAUCCUAUGUAAGCUGUCACACUGCUACAAAAACAAACAAACAAACAAUUUUUGUCUGUAGUAACAUGACUUUUCUUAGAAAAGCAGACAUCAGUAUGGUAAAAAGAAAGAAAGAAAGAAAACUCCAACCACAAGGCAAUAUGCUCAGUUUAGCAAACCUGCGUUGAGUUUAAAUAAUUUACACUGACAGAAGCAAAGAUGUGCACUGUAUAUUUGUUCUCUAUU